rnacentral:rRNA from 1 species
ACUCCGGCGAAGCCAAACGGGGCCGAUUCCGGCACGAUAUCGGCGUCUUUCUACGUGCUCGCCGGCGACCGUCGCACGAGUACGGCAAAGUGCAUGGCCCUAAAUGCUUCGGGUUGGACGGUACGGCAAUAGUUGAGACCGUCGGUCGGAUGUUCGUCGUCUUUCGCCGAGCCAGUGCUGGCAAUCCGGCGAAGCCGAACGGAGCCGAUUCGGGCACGAUAUCGGCGUCUUUCCACGUGCUCGCCGGGACCGAUGCACGAGUACGGUAAACCCGCGUCAGCCGGGGCGAGAUGGCCGGUGCUUUUACUUUGAAAAAAUUAGAGUGCUCAACGCAGGCGAGUCGCCUGAAUAAACUUGCAUGGAAUAAUAGAACAAGACCUCGUUUCUGUUCUGUUGGUUUUUGGAAUACGAGGUAAUGAUUAAGAGGGACGGACGGGGGCAUUCGUAUUGCGGCGCUAGAGGUGAAAUUCUUGGACCGUCGCAAGACGAACUACUGCGAAAGCAUUUGCCAAGAAUGUUUUCAUUGAUCAAGAACGAAAGUCAGAGGUUCGAAGGCGAUCAGAUACCGCCCUAGUUCUGACCAUAAACGAUGCCAACCAGAGAUCCGCCUGAGUUACUCAAAUGACUCGGCGGGCAGCUUCCGGGAAACCAAAGUAUUUGGGUUCCGGGGGAAGUAUGGUUGCAAAGCUGAAACUUAAAGGAAUUGACGGAAGGGCACCACCAGGAGUGGAGCCUGCGGCUUAAUUUGACUCAACACGGGAAAACUUACCCGGCCCGGACACUGGGAGGAUUGACAGAUUGAGAGAUCUUUCUUGAUUCGGUGGAUGGUGGUGCAUGGCCGUUCUUAGUUGGUGGAGCGAUUUGUCUGGUUAAUUCCGAUAACGAACGAGACUCUAGCCUAUUAAAUAGGUGCGGGGUUCCCAGCACCUUACAACCUUCUUAGAGGGACAAGCGGCUCCUAGCCGCACGAAACAGAGCAAUAACAGGUCUGUGAUGCCCUUAGAUGUCCGGGGCCGCACGCGCGAUACACUGAAGGAAGCAGCGUGUCUUUAUCCCUGUCUGAAAAGACUGGGUAACCCGUGGAACUUCUUUCGUGAUUGGGAUAGGGGCUUGCAAUUGUUCCCCUUGAACGAGGAAUUCCCAGUAAGCGCGAGUCAUAAGCUCGCGUUGAUUACGUCCCUGCCCUUUGUACACACCGCCCGUCGCUACUACCGAUUGAAUGAUUUAGUGAGGUCUUCGGACCGAUGUCCGGCGCGGCCUUUCGGUUGCGCCGGUCUGUUGGAAAGAUGACCAAACUUGAUCAUUUAGAGGAAGUAAAAGUCGUAACAAGGUUUCCGUAGGUGAACCUGCGGAAG